UCGCCUGUUUAUCAAAAACAUUUCUAAAUGAUCUUUAUUUUUAGUAAUUCCUGCUCAAUGACCCUUUAAAUUGCCGCAUUCAAUGUGCUAAGGUAGCAAAAUCAUUUGCCUUUUAAUUGCAGGCUAGCAUGAAUGGAUACUCAUGUAGAUUUCUUUAUUAACCUUAUUUCUUCAAUUUUUCUUAUAAGUAAAAAGACUUAUAUUUAUAAGAGGGACGACAAGACCCUAUCGAGCUUUACUUAUGUUGAACUGGGGCGGUAAAAAACCAAAUCUUUCUUUCUUUUUAUUAAACAUUCUUUUCUGUAAAAUUUUCAAGUUACCGUAGGGAUAACAGCAUUAUUUUCUUUUAAAGUUCUUAUUGAAAAGAAAGUUUUUGACCUCGAUGUUGAAUUAUUAAUCUUUUUAAAGCAAAUUUUAAAAAAGAAAGUCUGUUCGACUUUUAAAACUUUACGUGAUCUGAGUUC
rnacentral:rRNA from 1 species